rnacentral:misc_RNA from 1 species
UUAAGUUCAGCGGUAGUCCUACCUGAUUUGAGGUCAAAUUUGUCAAAUUUAUAUGUUAGAAGCGGUACAAUCUGCAUACCAAAGGCAUAGAUAACUUAUCACACCUAAUGGUUCUGCUCAGAUACCACUAAUGCAUUUCAGGGGAGCCGACCUCAUUCAGAGGCCUGCAAAAACAACCCCCACAUCCAAGCCACACCAGA